UGAUAGAGGCGCGGCCGCCAAGAGUAGCUCCCAUCAAUCCCGCAGGUACGGAGGGGAGGGAAAGGGACGGCCGCCGAGGUUCGGCGCCGCUGCCUGGCGCCGCCGGGCCGGGCCGUCGGAGAAGAUCCGCCGGACUGCCGGGGAAGCCCUCCCCGGAGCGCUGUC
rnacentral:ncRNA from 1 species